UAAUGACUUACAAGACUCGCAAGAUAAUUAAUAAGAACAAAAGACAAACAACUACCGCCUCCGAGAAAAAGGUGUGAAACUUGAGCGUACGCGUACGCUUACAUCUGGACUGUACUAUCAGCCUUUAUCAAAACAUCCACUGUCGGCAUUUUCAAAAAAUUGAGCGAAAAGACAUUCUUGUUAUACGGACAUUGAAAUGGAAGAAAG